AGGGGCAAGGAUCUUUGCUAUCGCCGUGAUUUGGUCAACUGCUGCCUUCUGCGCCGCUUCUUGUUGGGCGAGGCGUGCCAGGAUAGUUUCCAUAGACGCAGGAUGGGGAAGUGGAGUUGGGCGAGGCGUGCCAGGAUAGUUUCCAUAGACACUUGGCGGCUAGUGGCCCUACGGUGGGCGGCAACUGUUUGAUCGGAAAACGGUAAUAAAUAAGAUGUGGGUUUAAACAAAGACGUCAUAUUAAUGGUCGGAGAAAAACGUUCAGUCGGUUACAAAGGAAAAGAAGAGAGUGCGACAUAAAGGAAGUCGGUGGCUCGAUGAGAUACCGGAAAAGUACAACUAACGGCGAGAUGAAGCAAAGGUGAAAACCCU
rnacentral:lncRNA from 1 species